AUGUUGUCUCUGGCAAGAAGUAAGUGCAUUUGUUUUAUUUCCCAGGUCUAUUAUUCCUGUGGUGCGGUGGUGGAGUCAAUGGAAAGAGGCCUGAUUUUAUCACCAGGAUUUCCAAACAACUACUACCCGGGGACACACUGCGUUUGGCAAUUUUUCAUUCCCAUAAGAACACAUCUUAUCUUGGAAAUUUUUGACUUUGACAUUUUUGAGAGCUCUAGUGAAACUCCAACCCCCUGGGAUGGCUUUCCAGCUGCUGCGAUAACAGGAAAUAAGGACGUGACUCCUCCCGAGGAAAACCUGGACUUUGUUCUCCAGACUACAAAAUCCUCUCUUCAGAGCUGGAUGUCAAAGGCAGCUCAGAAUCUGAGCGGUGCAGGAGAUCAGUCAAAAGGAAGUCCUGGCCACCUGGACGAACUUCCAGGAGCAGCCUCGAAGAAAGAUGAAGCCAAACAGAUGUCCAAAGGAAACCAGUCAAAACAGAUGAAGGAACCCAAAGCGAUUACGGAGACUCAAACAGAAGAACAGCCAUUACCUGAUUCUGGUGGUGCCAAAACACAGAGGCAAAAUGUUAGCGGCCAAGAAACAAAAGAAGGUUGGAAAGGCAAUAUUUUGUUUGCCCACCUAGCUGCUAGUGAGAGAGAUGAAAGUCUGGGAGAGAGCUGGACGCUUCCCACAACAAUACUGCCAGUGGAAAUCUCCAGCCAGCAGCCGGCAGUGGAUGUCUGUCCCCACGAUGUACUGUAUGUUUCAGAUCUCAUCACGUUUUCCUCUCGUUUCUGUGGACCAAAUUCACCUUUAAACAGGACCAUGGUCUUUGGUUCGUCUCUGGAAAUGGUUGAGGUUAUCAUGGAACUCAUUACCACCACCAACCGGGGCAGAGGCUUCGCAAUGCUCUUUGAAUACAAGAACAUCACGGAACCCAACACUGUGGAUGCUGUGAGGCAGGAGAGAAUGGAAAACAUACUGAUGCUGGCAAUUUUAACAGGGACUGUCUUCUUUGCACUUGCUUUGCUCUCUGCCCUCUGCAUAGCUUGCAGGCAGAGAACGUGCCCCAAAAGGAGCUCAUCCAACGUAUGCAGUGACCAGGAGAAUGGGAUCCAGAACUCCGCUGUUGAUAUCAAUGAGCUCCAGCUCGUGGUGCCAAGUCGGGAGAAUGAAAACAACAACCACUCUGUCAGCCGGGAGCAGGCGGUCACUUCCUGCAGAGGCAGCACAGAACAGUCUCCCCAGGAUACUGACCCAGAUGUGCCCUCUUCCACCUCUGCAGUGACCACCGAGACAGGGAGUGAUGAAGUGUUUAUUAUUUCUGCUGGACCCGGAGCCAGUGGACUGAGCUUUACUACUUACAGAAUACAGGACAAAAACCUAAAAAGAAGUGUCACAAGCCCAGGCUCUGUGUCUGACUGGGUGACUUCUGGUCACGUGGCUGCAGGAGCAGAUACUGUUGAGAAGAGGAAUGUCCAGAUGGAAAAUCAUUAUCCCAGACAACGCACCUGGAGUGCCCGCACUUUCCAUGACUUCCUGGCUCCAAUACCACAGCUACAAAAAAAGUGGUGUAGCUGGACCACCAAUAGUCCCUUCACAAAGCUGGUUGACAACAGUGGUUUUCCUACAGCUGCAAAAAUCCAAGGUGUUCCAACCAGAAAGGUGAUUUCAGCCACUGAGAUAGAGGGAGCUUCAGAAACAGUUUACUCUGAUUCAUCUGUCAGCAAUGCCUCAUACCCCCUCACUCUGUCUGCACAAAGGCAGCGGAAGCUAAGCUCCUGCAACCUGAAGAAAUCCAGGUUUGGAAAUCCUUACUUUGGAUUUUUAGCUGGUUCCCCUGACAACAAACGUGUGAGGUCCUUGGAUUCCUCAAGACAUCUAGGGGCAGCAUCUCCAGUUAACAACCAAAGCCCCAAGAGUACUCUGGAGAGCUCCAACCCCUUGAAAAUCAACUUGGCCAAUGCUUCAAAAACAAAGGACCUUGGGGGAGAAGCAGAUAAAAACAAACCAGUUUUUGUCAUUUCUGAAGAAGGAGAUGAUCAGCAGCCUCUGGUCCUAGCUGAACAUCUCAGUCAGUGUGGAGAUCAUCUGUCUGAACCAAAUGCUGUGUAUGCAGUAACAGUGCCAGACAAACCAGUGGUUCUGACUGUUGAGGGUAACAGUUCUGCCAGUUUGACAUCAAAUCUUCCAUUUUGGGCAAAAUCUCCUGGUUUAUACAAAGGUCAGGUGAAGGUCCCUAACUCUACCAGGGACCAGCAGAGCUCGUCAGUUGUAGAUGCUAAUACUAGUGAGACCUCACAGAACUUUGAUACCCUAGCUGCUCCUACGCUAUGUCAAGCUUCAGUUCAGUGA
ensembl:lncRNA